UACGUAGGGUGCGAGCGUUAAUCGGAAUUACUGGGCGUAAAGCGUGCGCAGGCGGCUUUGCAAGACAGAUGUGAAAUCCCCGGGCUCAACCUGGGAACUGCAUCUGUGACUGCAAGGCUAGAGUACGGCAGAGGGGGAUGGAAUUCCGCGUGUAGCAGUGAAAUGCGUAGAUAUGCGGAGGAACACCAAUGGCGAAGGCAAUCCCCUGGGCCUGUACUGACGCUCAUGCACGAAAGCGUGGGGAGCAAACAGG
rnacentral:rRNA from 1 species